UUUCUGAAUAUGUGGCUUUGCACAUACAGAAAUAGUGUAAAUUAUACAUACGGACAGUACGAGCGCACCUUACGCACUUUGCACACCUUACGCAAAUUCACGAACUUUGCUAGGUAGGUAGUUCAGUUUCGUGAAUCGGAGCAUGCGCAGUGAGGCUCUUGUUCUGUGUGUUUGUGUUGUGAUGACAGUGAAAGCUGGAGAAGCAGACGCGAAAUAAGAGGAGACCACACAGAGACAAACUCAGCAAGGAUACCACUUCUUCCCUUCUGCUCUGCUGUGAUUUGUUGUGGUACCGUCACGUGACUGAGCGGCGCUGAGAGACCGAACACAUGUAGCAGAGAGAGAGAGAGAGAGAGAGAAUCAGUGCUACACCGCCUGAGAGACAGUGGGUAACAGCUCUGUGUAUAUUUACAUAUGUACUGUAUAUAAAAUACAGUUAUAUAUCAUCUGUAUAUCUACCUGUAAAUUUACCAAAGUAUUUUUAUUGUUUUUCUUUUUAAUCUCUAUUCACUUUUAUUGUUUUAUUGUCAUCUUUUGCUUCUUUUGUAAUUUUAUUAUUGCUGUAAUGCUUUGGCAAUAUUGUUUCCUACAGUCAUGCCAAUAAAGAUACUUUGAAUCUUGAA